rnacentral:rRNA from 1 species
GUCGUAACAAGGUUUCCGUAGGUGAACCUGCGGAAGGAUCAUUAUCGAAAUCGCCGCGCAAAGGCUGUGCGUCUCGCACGCCUCUGCCGCGCAUUUUCAACCCACACACCUGUGCACCUCUCGGGCCCGCCGCUCGCCGGCGACCCGCAUUUCAUUUACACCACGUCGAGAAUGUAACUUUUAGUGUGUAACACAUAACAACUUUCAACAACGGAUCUCUUGGCUCCCGCAUCGAUGAAGAACGCAGCGAAAUGCGAUAAGUAAUGUGAAUUGCAGAAUUCAGUGAAUCAUCGAAUCUUUGAACGCACCUUGCGCUCCUUGGUAUUCCAUGGAGCACGCCUGUUUGAGUGUCACGUGAAUACAUCACCUCCCUUCGGGGAAGCGUGGACUUGGGCGCCUGCCGACGUAUCGCCGGCUCGUCCGAAAUGCAUUAGCCUGCGGAGUGUCCCCUGGCCUUUGGCGUGAUAGUAACAUUUCGCCGCUGUCGCCGAGGACGUUUUGCUCCGGGCUCACAAUGUGCGUGCCCCUUGCGGCCGCGACCCCCUUUUACGCUUUGGCCUCAAAUCAGGCGGGACUA